GGCGGCAGGCCUAACACAUGCAAGUCGAGCGGAAACGAGUUAACAGACCCUUCGGGUGACGUUAACGGCGUCGAGCGGCGGACGGGUGAGUAAUGCCUGGGAAAUUGCCCUGAUGUGGGGGAGUAACCAUUGGUAAACGAUGGCUAAUACCGCAUAAUGCCUUCGGGCCAAAGAGGGGGGGGACCGUUCGGGGGGCCUCUCGCGUCAGGAUAUGCCCCAGGUGGAUUAGCUAGUUGGUGAGGUAAUGGCUCACCAAGGCGACGAUCCCUAGCUGGUCUGAGAGGAUGAUCAGCCACACUGGAACUGAGACACGGUCCAGACUCCUACGGGAGGCAGCAGUGGGGAAUAUUGCACAAUGGGCGCAAGCCUGAUGCAGCCAUGCCGCGUGUGUGAAGAAGGCCUUCGGGUUGUAAAGCACUUUCAGCAGUGAGGAAGGCGGGUACGUCAAUAGCGUGCUCGUUUGACGUUAGCUGCAGAAGAAGCACCGGCUAACUCCGUG
rnacentral:rRNA from 1 species